CAUGAUUAGCUUAGCUAGGAUUGUUUAGAGGGUAGUCGCAGUCGCCCCAACUCCGAUUCACAAAGCUAUUUCAUUGGUUUUGUGAGUAGGGUGAGAAACAACAUCUUGUUGGAAACUUUAAUUUUCUUAAGAAGUUAAAGAACUGU
rnacentral:sRNA from 12 species